GGAGGGGUCGGAUAGUGGUUCAUUCCACACGCUUGGAAAGCGUGCGCUGUAAAAAGCUCGCGGGUUCGAAUCCCGCCCCCUCCGCCA
rnacentral:tRNA from 5 species